CUGGCAACAUGCGAGGGAAGACAAAGCUGUGGCACUAGCAAGACCGUCCUGGACACCCUGAGUUUUCAGAAGCUGGUUACACAAUCCAGUCUCUGAAAUAGAGUAAGGUGGGGAGCCAUAGCCCUGGCCGGUGUCACCCGGGAUCUACAGGUGCCAACAACAGAAACCCAGUCUUGCCAUUUAAGUGGAAAUGACCUGGAGAGCGCCCUCCCUCGGGUGUGACGCAACCCAGGGCUCAGCCACUGUGGGCACCCCCAACCCCGGCCUUGCACAUCCUGCAGCCUUUCAUGUCAGAACAAGACAAAGGCACAAUGCUGUCAGAAAAAUGUAAAAGCCGCACCACUUGUAUGACGCACGUUAGCCCUGUAAAGACAGAUUGCAGGAGCCAGCCUGAAGGGCCAGAGACGGCUCGGGCAUCGACAGUCUGCUCUUCCUGUUACACGACUCAGGAACCCAGCCUGGGGGCAAUUAUCCAGGCUCCAAGGAGACAUUGCAUUUCCCUGGGAGCCCCUGAUGGCGCUCGGUGCCCAACGAGGCCUCAUGCAGGAUGGGAGGAAUGGCCUCAUGCUUUCUCCUGGCGGCCCCCUCCCUGGGCCAGCACACCAUCCACCCCUGCUGCACCCAGAUGCCACAAGCCGCAGUGCGGACUUGCCGCCGCCUGGUCUUGCCGUUGCUCAGACCCUCACUGACCACCCUCAGUGGUCACCUCAGAGCGGACCGAGAAAGAAA
rnacentral:lncRNA from 1 species